rnacentral:rRNA from 1 species
AUGUCGACGACGCCUCGAGGCCGGUCGUCGUCCCGCCGCCGCACCCGGUGCUGCAAAUGCGCUGGCGGCGGCGGGGGCAAGCCCUCCACGCCGUGCUGCUUCAACCCGCUGAGGUCCCUAUUCCGGUGCCCCGGCCGGGGUCGUGGACGCAGCCGCAGCCGCAACCGCAGUCACAGCCGGAACCGGACGGCUCCGUCCAGGGUGUCGGCGGACAUCGGCACCGAGCAGCAAGGCCAGGAGCCGUCAUUCUUCGUCUAUUCCAUGGGCAGCGCCGCGGAGAACAAGAAGAAGAAGCACAGGAAGGCGCGGCUCCCGUCCAUCCGCUCCUGCUUCCGCAGCAAGAAGAAGGAGCGGAAGGCCAGCGCCCGCCGCCAACCCCUCACGCCGGCGCCGUCGAUGGUGACGCACCCGCCGCGCUCCCCGCCUGCGCCGGAGAACACGCCCGCCGUGGCAUCCGGCGUGACGUCGACGCAACCGCCUUCGCCUGCGUUUACCGAGACCGGCAACGUUAAUUCGCCGGCGACGUCCGACCGGAGAACUGCGCCGACGGGCCCGGGCAAGCAGCCGUCGACGGACACGGCGUGGGCACCGUUCCCGCCGCAGAGGCAGCAGCCGAAGCAGCAGGUCGACGGGCUGCAGAUCGUCGAGGUGGCGACCGGCGAGCGGCUGUCCGCGCACGAGGCUGCGCUCAUCGAGAUGGUUGAGAGCUCGACCGACGACUCCGCGGAGUCGUCGAUGAAGUCGUCGCUGGAGUUCAUCAACGAGCCGUCGCCUCGAACACCGGUGAAACGGAUGGUGGCGGAUAGGGAGACGACGGUGGUGAAGGCCGCGGCCAGGGAGGCACCGAGGCUAUGGCUUAACGGCAAUGCCGCCAAGGCCGGGACCAGCGCGCGAUUCUCCGAGCCUCUUGUGGUGUCGGAGGCCAAUGAGCUGUGGGCGCACGACAUCGCUUGCAGCCGCGCCCACGCUGCCAUGCUCGCUGACACUGUUGGAAGGCCGAAUCAAGGAUGCCCCGUAUACCGGUCAAACCUCGUUCGAGCAAACACGCCGCUGCGGAAUUUGUCGGAAUCCACUCAAAAAUCGCCGGAAUUCGUCACCGCACACCUGGAAAGGCCACUGGACGCCGAAAUCUAUCGCCGCCGGUUCGAAUUGGACGAGCUCGACCUUGCAGUGCCCUCUCGUGACCUCAGCCUAGCGCCGGGAUCCUCCCGACGCGGCCGGCACGGAGCAGGGCGCAGCCGAUAG